AUUACUCAGGCAUUACCUUAGCAAAUAGAAUGGGUUGGCUCUGAAAUCCUUCUGUUUGGACAUCAUUUCUCUGUUUUUCAGUUUCAGGUGCCAACUUCCCUUUUCUGAGAUCAUUCAUGGGACUGCAGGGAGUGUAGAUUCGCUGUCACCUUACUUAGUGGGACUCCUGGACAUGCAACAAUUCCCAAAAAACCAUGUGACUCCAAAGUGCUUCAAUGCAUGCAGGGUACAGGACUAUGCCAACACAUUGUGCUAAAAGUUAUGGCAACAAACGGGAGCACUGUUCCACCAGCAGACUUUCCAUCUGGAUGGCCCUGGCUUGUAUUCCUGGUAAACACCAUUUGCAACAAACUGUACAGAAUCAUGGCUUUUGCUGUCAGAGGUGAAGUGCCAAACACAGAAGAAAACAGGAAAUGAGGAGCUGGUAGGAUUUUGACUGCAGGGAUGCAGUAAGUCAGCAAACGUGCAUUUAUUAGUUUGAUUGUUGGGCUGCUGCUGGCCAUGUCCGGCUCAGCAAUGAACCAGCUGGGUGGCUGUGCAUUCCUUUAUUUGGUAAGUCAAACACAAAUCUUCCAAAGAGUCAGGUUUUUUAACAAGUCACUUGCUCUUCACUGCAUUGAGCGGCUAAGUGCCUUUCACACAGAGGUCUGACACCUGCAUGGACAAACUCUUACUUUUCAGUGAGAGCAAUAGAUGGCAGGGGGUGCCUUCCAGAACAAAGUUCUGCCCUUUGGUCCUUUUCUGGGCUUAGUA